rnacentral:tRNA from 2 species
GGGGCGUUAGCGCAGUUGGGAGCGCACAACACUGGCAGUGUUGGGGUCAGGGGUUCGAAUCCCCUACGCUCCACCA